UACGUAGGGUCCGAGCGUUGUCCGGAGUUACUGGGCGUAAAGCGCGCGCAGGCGGCGGUGCUGGCCCGGCGUGAAAGCCCCCGGCUCAACCGGGGAGGGUCGUCGGGGACCGCACCGCUUGAGGGCGGUAGGGGCUGGUGGAAUGCCUGGUGUAGUGGUGAAAUGCGUAGAGAUCAGGCGGAACACCCGUGGCGAAGGCGGCCAGCUGGGCCGUCCCUGACGCUGAUGCGCGAAAGCCAGGGGAGCGAACGGG
rnacentral:rRNA from 1 species